rnacentral:rRNA from 1 species
CCUACGGGAGGCAGCAGUAGGGAAUAUUGCUCAAUGGGGGAAACCCUGAAGCAGCAACGCCGCGUGGAGGAUGAAGGUUUUCGGAUUGUAAACUCCUUUUGUUAGAGAAGAUAAUGACGGUAUCUAACGAAUAAGCACCGGCUAACUCCGUGCCAGCAGCCGCGGUAAUACGGAGGGUGCAAGCGUUACUCGGAAUCACUGGGCGUAAAGAGAGAGUAGGCGGGAUAGCAAGUCAGAUGUGAAAUCCUAUGGCUUAACCAUAGAACUGCAUUUGAAACUGUUAUUCUAGAGUAUGGGAGAGGUAGGUGGAAUUCUUGGUGUAGGGGUGAAAUCCGUAGAGAUCAAGAGGAAUACUCAUUGCGAAGGCGACCUGCUAGAACAUAACUGACGCUGAUGCGCGAAAGCGUGGGGAGCAAACAGGAUUAGAUAUCCUAGUAGUC